UGUAAAAAUCAAACUUCGUCAAUUAUUAUUUAAGCUUUUUCCAACUUAUGAAUAUGAAUAAUGUAAAAAUUAAAAUACCGUUGAGAUUUUAUCCCUCAAUGUCCUAUAUGGCUAUAUAUAUUGGGUGAGAAUGAUAGAGGGAAUAGGAAACAACUCACUACAUUAAUACAAUGUAUUAAUUGGAUAAGAGCAAAAGAGGAGAGAGAAAGAAGAGAGAAGAGUACGUAACAUAAUAAUGGCUAGUCAAAAGGGAUGUGUUGUAGCUAGGGCUAUGUUUCUAAGUUGGCUUCUAUUGCUACUAGUUUUACUGCCUUCUGUCUUUGUUGAUGCAGCAAGGGCUCCAUCCGGGCCCUCCGGCCCCAACCCUCAAACCCAACCCAAGGAAAUGGUGUAUUAUCCUCAAGGUUGCCGUUGUUGCUGGUUUAAUUUCAAACCCCAAAUCAGUUGUGGAGCCGUGUGUUGUGGAGAUGGAUGCACUUGCUCCUAAACAUCUUAAGUUGCUGGGAUCGAGAUUUGCAACAUCUUAAUUACGGAUUAACGUCGUUUUAUUUUCUUGUAAUAAUUAGAAUAAAGAGGAGUAAUUAAUUUACCCCUGGUGAAAUGUUUGCUUCUUUACAUUUUUAUUGUCGUGUUACUUUGUAAUUUUGUAUUCUUCUAUACAAAAAUGUAUACACGCGGUAUUGUGGUGUUAUGUAUUAGAUCAAUUUCUUACCAAACAUUUGUGUUCCGGUGUUGAAGUGGAUGAAAUAAUGGGCUUCGAAUGAAGGCCCUUUUGUGUGUGUUGAA